rnacentral:rRNA from 1 species
UACGAAGGGGGCGAGCGUUGUUCGGAAUUACUGGGCGUAAAGGGCGCGUAGGCGGCCCCUUUUGUCGCGUGUGAAAGCCCCGGGCUCAACCUGGGAACGGCGCGCGAAACGGGGGGGCUUGAGUUCGGGAGAGGAGAGUGGAAUUCCCGAGUGUAGAGGUGAAAUUCGUAGAUAUUCGGAAGAACACCAGUGGCGAAAGGCGGCAUCCCUGGACCA